rnacentral:rRNA from 1 species
GGUUGCGAUCAUACCAGCACUAAUGCACCGGAUCCCAUCAGAACUCCGUAGUUAAGCGUGCUUGGGUGAGAGUAGUACUAGGAUGGGUGACCCCCUGGGAAGUCCUCGUGUUGCAACCC